CAGCCGUAAACUAUGCGCGUUAGGUGUAUCGGUGACCACGAGUCACCGAGGUGCCGAAGGGAAACCGUGAAACGUGCCGCCUGGGAAGUACGGUCGCAAGGCUGAAACUUAAAGGAAUUGGCGGGGGAGCACCACAACGGGUCGGAGCCUGCGGUUUAAUUGGACUCAACGCCGGGAAGCUCACCGGAUAGGACAGCAGAAUGAUUGCCGGGCUGAAGACCCUGCAUGACUAGCUGAGAGGAGGUGCAUGGCGUAGAC
rnacentral:rRNA from 1 species